AAGUCGGAAUCCGCUAAGGAGUGUGUAACAACUCACCUGCCGAAUGAAUUAGCCUGAAAAUGGAUGGCGCUGAAGCGGGAUGCCGAUACUCAGCCAUCAAAGCAAAUGCGAAGCUUUGAUGAGUAAGAGGGCGUGAGCACGGUGCAGAAGCCUUUGGCGUGAGCCUGGGUUGAACUGUGUUUAGUGCAGAUCUUGGUGUUAGUAGCAAAUAUUCAAAUGAGAACUUUGAAGACCGACGUGGAGAAGGGUUCCAUGAGAACAGCAUUUGGUCAUGGGUUAUCCGAUCCUAAGGCAUAGGGAAAUUCCUUGUAAUACAAGAGCAAUUUGCUCGUUGCCGAAAGGGAAUGAGGUUAAUAUUCCUCAGACUGGACGUGGAUAUUGUAUGGUAACAUAAGUGAGCCCGGAGACAUCGGUAUGAACUCCUGGAAGAGUUAUCUUUUCUUUUUAACAAUCUAUCGCCCUGAAAUGGGAUUAUCCCGAGCUAGGGCUUUAUGGUUGGCAGAGC
rnacentral:rRNA from 1 species